AGCAGUGCCAAUUUAGCUGGAAGUAUAGACAAGCUCUUACUUGCAAUUCAGUUGAAGGCAUGGGCAAAGGCUGAAAUGAUUGGACACCACUACUUCAAUCAGCAUAUGCUCAUUCACUGCACAAGCUCAAAAUCUGAGACCCAACCCCACCUCAGGAGCAACUUGGAGGUGCCCAAAUGACAGUCAUCGGAGGCAGAGAAGAGUAUCAAGUUACAUUGGAUUGCAAAAACGGACACACUGUGGGACAUGUGAUGUAAGAAACACUGUGCUGCCACAAGAAGCUUUAGGCUGGUAGGUGAAAAUCAUUCUUCAAAGGGAUAAUAUU